GAUGAACGCUGGCGGCGUGCCUAAUACAUGCAAGUCGAGCGAACAGACGAGGAGCUUGCUCCUCUGACGUUAGCGGCGGACGGGUGAGUAACACGUGGAUAACCUACCUAUAAGACUGGGAUAACUUCGGGAAACCGGAGCUAAUACCGGAUAAUAUAUUGAACCGCAUGGUUCAAUAGUGAAAGACGGUUUUGCUGUCACUUAUAGAUGGAUCCGCGCUGCAUUAGCUAGUUGGUAAGGUAACGGCUUACCAAGGCAACGAUGCCUAGCCGACCUGAGAGGGUGAUCGGCCACACUGGAACUGAGACACGGUCCAGACUCCUACGGGAGGCAGCAGUAGGGAAUCUUCCGCAAUGGGCGAAAGCCUGACGGAGCAACGCCGCGUGAGUGAUGAAGGUCUUCGGAUCGUAAAACUCUGUUAUUAGGGAAGAACAAAUGUGUAAGUAACUAUGCACGUCUUGACGGUACCUAAUCAGAAAGCCACGGCUAACUACGUG
rnacentral:rRNA from 1 species